CCAAUGGCACUGCCCGGUAGCUAAAUGCGGAAGAGAUAAGUGCUGAAAGCAUCUAAGCACGAAACUUGCCCCGAGAUGAGUUCUCCCUGACUCCUUGAGAGUCCUGAAGGAACGUUGAAGACGACGACGUUGAUAGGCCGGGUGUGUAAGCGCAGCGAUGCGUUGAGCUAACCGGUACUAAUGAACCGUGAGGCUUAACCUU
rnacentral:rRNA from 1 species